rnacentral:miRNA from 1 species
CCUAAAAUUGUCUGAACUGA